UAUCAGUCACCCAAACCCAGACCAAAUACCCAACGCGAACAGCAAAAAACCACCGACAAUGUGUUGUUCUUCCUCCUCACGAUAAUAACUCAGAAAACGCGUGCAAAAUCCAGCAAAGAAUCGCGACUCGAGCUCAACUCGAGCGUAACCAUCUUCGCACAUCCUCUCCCUAAUCUAUUCGUACAAAGCCUUUGAAUUUUUCGAAUGUCUCUAUAUCCUUUUGAUUUCGUCCUUGGACCGAAUUAGACGGCUCUACUUAAAAAUCUGUUUAGGAUUUGUACAAAUGUCAGCCGUCCCAGCCUUACCCUCGAAGGACAUUUGAAUUCUGAAUUUCUAAUUUGAAAUGUCACCCUAAAUCUACCUGAUUCCCCUCCCCCCACCCCCCACCCCUCACCCCCCACCCCCCAAAAAAAGUUUGACCUAAUUCCCUCUAUAUAAACAUUCUCUUCCUUUAGUGUUGGAGGUGAGAAAAACAGAGGAGAAUACUUAGAUAGAGUUGGGGAGACAAAAAAUCUGAAAGAAAUAUAAAUACAAGAAUACAUACAUCAAAAAAAAAAUUAGUAGUGAAGUUCCUCAAGCAAGAAUCUAUAAGAGAAUUUCUUUUGUGCUCGCCUCUUGCAAAGCUCGUCGGAGUGUCGUUGGGGUAGUGAAGUUGCUGCUCCUUCUAGCUCGUCGUCUUCCCUACUUCACUGUCGGGAAAGGAAAUCUCCUCCCUUGUAAGUUUUUUCUUUAUUUCUUCCUUCUGUACUUAGUUAUUUUCUUUUGAAACCUGAUCGUGGUUCUUAUUUCUAUUGUCUCUUGGAUUGAAUCUUGUGGUAGCAGUGAUUAGUAAUUUUUUGCUUAUUAUUUGCUUCAUUUGUCUGUCUCCUCUUCUCGUCAAUCUACUAAACAUGCUUUCUUUGUUCUUAAUUGUCAUACUAAUUUUAAAAUUUUGACUGAUGACUUAGUGUUUAAUUAUAAGGAUUGGUUAUUUGUAUAGUUCUCAAAAAACCAAGUUUAGAAACUACAUUUUUUGGAUAAAUGUAGUCGUGCCACAAGAUAUGGUCAUGUUUGAGUUCACCAGGACGCUGUAUAGAAUUCAAUCUCUUUCUUUCCUGAUUAUUUACCUGUUUGAGAAUCGAUUAUUAUUGACAUAUUGGGUUAUUUGAAGAGGUAUUUCUCUAUUUAGAGCACCAAAGCUCUUUGGGUAAUUUCAUGUUUAUCAUUUUAUAAAACUAAGAUUUUGGGUUCAUGUUCUGUUAACCUUUUUGGUUCUACCUUUAGCCUUAGUCCUUAUUAAUCUUUAAUUGAAGUAGCUUCCCUUUCAUAAGUCAGAACCAUAUAGUAUGUGGGUUUAUUAAGUUUUGUUAAAUGUGUGACACAUCCCAUUUUGAUCUUAUAUUAGUUGGUUCAAAUUUUAAUUUUAUUUUGCAUUUACUGUUCCAUUUUAAGUGCAUGAAUAUCUACAAAUCAUGGUUCAUAUCUACCUAUUCUUGUUUUGCUAUUGGAAGUGUUUGACCAUUCCUGUUGAUAUGAAAGUGGUAUCCAAUUUCGGUGUUGCAUUUAUGAAAAUAUACAUAGUGUAUUGCUCAAAGCAUGCCUACAUAUCCCUUUGUCAUGUUGCUUGUCAUUAGUUUAUUUUAUUUGUAUUUGGAGUCACUAUUAUUGUGUUACUUGUAUAGGCUUUAGUGUUUGUUUUAUUAACUCUUGUUAUCGUUAAGUGGUCGGUUGAUAUAUAUUAGUUCAUUCUGCUUUGUUUUGAGUCAUCUUUUAUGGUGAUUGAAUAGUGGUUUCAGUUUUCAUUUUGGAUCUUAAAAAAUACUUGAAUUACUUUGUUCACAAUUAAGUUAUGCCUCAUUUGUUUUAUUUGAUUUAUAUGCUAAUUUUAUUUCUUUGCUUUCUUGUAUGAAUCCUCUUCGAGUCCAUAAUGGAUAUCUUUCCUUUACAUUCCCAAAUCGAUCCAUAGAGGCUAAAACCUCUUUUGUCACAGAGUCAGCUAGACCAUGGGUGUAAAGGGAAGAAUGUGAAAUGCAAGGGGUUGGAAAUUUAAUUUCAGAUUCCAAAAUGGCCCAAAAGAAAGUUGUAUGCGUGCAGUAUACAUUCUGUAUACAUGAUAUACAAGUCCAAAAUAUGGCAAUAAAAGUUAAAAGUAGUUAAGCGCUUGAAAAGGAACAAAUAUACAGGGUGUUGAAAAGUUAAAGCUGAUAUGGAGCUUAAAAACACACCUAUAUGGUGAUGUACACUUGGUAUAUGUCACAUCUUGGGAGCACCCCUAGAAGUAACAUGGCGUAUUUGACCUCUCAAAGGUCUUAUACAAGCUCAUAGUUAUCAUUCAUCGCAUUGUUAUAGUAAAUUUUUGCGAAAAUUUAAGACUUCCAUAGCACUUCAUAUGCUAGAAACUUCACUUCAUAUAUACUCAAAAUAUCAUAUUACAUACUUAGACUCUAAGCCUCUUUGUCAUAUUAGACUCAACAAAAUUAGAGUACAUUAGCGACACGACUCUUAAAACAUAAUACAUAACUAUACAACAUUUAAACACUUUACAGUAAAGACAUUACAUUAGGAAAUCCUUGAACUUAAGGAUUCCUUUCAUUAAGCUUGGGAAUCAUCUAUCAAGCUCUUCACAUUUAGACAUCCUUUAAGCAUCCAUAACCUACACUUUGUGUAAAAAGUAGAGAAAAAUGGAUUUAGUACAAGAAUGCACUAAGUAUGACAACCAUGCAAAAAUAUGCAUUAAAAGGGAUAUUUUCUUGAAAUCAUACUUCAUACCUUUUUGAGUAAAUCUUUAUAAAACCUUUAUGCAAUUGCAUUUAUAUAAUUCACAUACUUCAUAUAGACAUAUUCAAAGGUCAAGUAUCAUAGAAAAUCACAUAUAGAAUUUAAGUCGUUUUUGAGUUCACCCUACAGUGAGCUAUCCUUUCUGUUAUUCACUAACUUCCCAAGUAACCUUGUAGUGAUACUUGGUGCAAUGCAUCAUCUUAGGCCACAAAGAAAGAAUAUAUACAACCUACACAAGUCAUCACAUAUCAUCAUAGAAGUAUAGCACAUGAUAGACACAUUUAAGCCAAGACAUAAGGACCUUACUAAAACUCUUAUCAUUAUACAUACAUAUAUAUAUAUAUAUUUAUAUACUUAUUUUACUUCACAUAGAACCUUAUGAAACCUUACUCAUAAUCCUACUCUAAGUCUACUAGUGCAAUGUAUGUGUAAAUCCCGAUAACCUCACACAUACUUAGUAAACCUAUCAUAACACCACAAGCUUAACAUUCUAUUUCAUACAUCAACAAGUAAGUGAAGACCACUCCAUUCAUGUUAACAAUCUUCAUCAUAUAAUCGUUAAGACUCACAUAGUGCAUAUAAGAAUAAGACCACACCACAUAGACUCAUACCAUGCACAUCUUCAUGAUAAAUAGACAAAUACUAUCAUCCAUGCAUAAAGACAUAAUCAUGAUCAUACACAUUAGAAGACCUUCCUAGAUCUUCCUAAGGAGAUACUUGUGCAAUGUCUAAAGGGGUUCAUUACUUCCACCUAUCCUAAGUAACCUCCCUUAGGUCAUCCUAGUUAGGGUCUUAGUCAUUUACUUCCAUUGUUCAUUUUACUUUAGGGAAACUAUAGCCUUAACAGACAUUAAGACCAUGGGCGCUAAACAUGGAAUUUGGUGUUGUAGAGCCUUACACCAAUGGAAGGUGUUCUUAACUAGCCAAGGUAGAACAUUAACACAUGCUAGCUUACUAAGUGAAUUCACUUACUAGAUCCUAUGUGGCAAGUAUAGUUACGGAACUAGGAGGUACAUGUGAAAACCCUCUUUAUGCCAAGAUGGGGCGUUAUGGUUAUUCACUUAUGGAAACCCUAUUUAUGCCUAUUGAGGCACUGUGGUUAUCCACCUCAUGAGAUUUAUGGUAGACCUUCCUUCCCACAUUGGAAAGAGCCACACACGCAUAUACAAGUUCACUCAGUGGUAAGCUAAGUUCUCUUUUAUUGAAAAAGCCUUUAUUAUCAUUUCUAAAUAAAACAUAGUCUUAGGAGAGUCAUCCCCUCAUAUGCUUAGCUCAUAGGUCAUAGAUGAAAGUUCAUUAACCUACAUCAUGUGAGAAAUCCUUUCACAUGGACAUAGCAUAUAUUAUUAGCACUAUCUAGUUUAGGAUACACUUGAGCACACCUUUCAAGGCCCCUUUAUUGAAUAGAUCAUCAUUCAUAUGUGUGCGUAUACAUAUAUGUAAGCAAACCUUUCACAUAACACAUUAAGGUCACGCAUGUUCAUACAUCCAUAUUCAUGCACAUAGAAAUCAAAACUAGAAACUAUUUUAUCAAGGCACACAUGUGCAAUGAAUAGGAAAGGUCCCAUGAAACACAUAUCAUACUUCCAUAGACAUCAUCUUAACAUGCAUAGUAGUAGACACUAGUAAAUAUGAGAACUACCUUUCAUUUAGACACCAUGACCUAUACUACUUUUAAGCAUGAAUAAUGUGUGAGUGCGUGUGUACAUUGGUCAACAUGAUCACAUAAUGGUUAUCCAUAACAUCUUGAGGCAGGCAGACUCAUAAGACCAUAACGCACAACAAAGCAUAGACCACACAACACCAUUUAGCAUGGAGGCAAGACAAUCUUCACAUUACAUUCAAGACUCCUAACCUUAGCUAUUCACACAUUCACAAUAGGGGUACAUGGGUAGGGGUCAUCAAUCCUUAAUACUUCAUUAAUGGCAGCGCCUACACAUGAUCCUAACAUAAACAUUCACAUGCUCAUGACAAUAGUAACAUAACCUAGAUUCACAACUAAAGUAGAAGACUACGCACAGGUUACACAUAAGGUGAUCAUCAUAACCACUCAUUCAUAUAUUCAUCAAUUCUUCUUCAAGGGCAUGUUCAACAUAUAUAUAAUGACAAUAAAGUAAACACCGCCACUACAAGUGGACCAUACCAUAAAAUGCCAUAAAAGGUUUCAUCAACAUUACUAUAAAGAAGUAGAGAAGUAGAAGAAUAGAGAAAUUAUUACCAAUCCAUUACUAAUCUUUCAUGAAUAAUUCAAGUAUAGGAAAAUAUCUAAAGUACCAUAAUCAUAAAAGAAACCAUGUACAAGUCGCUACAAGAUCAUAUUACAAUCUAAUACAAUAUAUCACAUAUAUAUACUAGAAAGUAGAAGAACAUAGAUCUUUAACCCAAUUCACUUGCAUUGAUAAUCAAUAACAAUUUAUCAUCAAUACAAUGUACGACAGUAGCUAAAGAAAUCAUUACUCAAACGAAAUCAUGCUUCAUCUACCCUAACAUUUAGAUCAUGUCAUAUACACUACAACAUUCACUUUGUAGGCUAGAAGAAUCUAAAUCAAUCUUUACCAAUUCAAUUGUUAUCCAUUCAUGUUAGAUCAAUUAUACCUAAUUAUCAUCACAUUAUACGUAUAGGCAGUAUCUAAGUACAAUUAACCAUGAUCGAGUCAUAUAACAACCAACCUAACGUCAAGAUCACAAGUUACCACUUGAUAAACUAGAAGAACUUAGAUAACCUCAUAUCUUCACCUUGAUCAUACAUGAUUUAUACUUACAAUUCAAUCAUUAUAUUAACCUUAGGAAGUAUCUACAAGACUCUCAACAUAUUUGAGAUCCACUUUUACACAAUUAAGGACUAAUGUUACAGUAAACACAUAGAACAUAAAGUAGUCAUGUUAAAUUCUUCAUACAUUGAUCCACAUGGACCACUCAUCAUCAAUUCAAGUAAAUAAAAGUAUAUUUAUACAAUAUAACGUAAGAGAAUCGCAAUUCAACUAUUAACAAGCUAUGAUCACAAUGCCCAUGCAAGGGCUAAAUCAAUUUUGGGAAGAGACAUGGGUUCAUAAUGCAAUUGGAUAAAAUUUCAUGUUAAAAGCAUUACAUUACAUCAAUUCAUCAUUAUUAAGACAUUAAAAACAUUUUUAGAAAGAACUCAUGGCUAUAUUGAAAAAGAAGAAGUUUGAUCGUGAAAUCUCUUUUUGAAACUUUGAGAUUAACUCUCUAGAUGGAAGGAUAACUAGUGAUAAAGGAUCACCAUACUUUGUAUAGUUGAAAACCUCUAAAUAUUGAUGAAUAAAUCAUAGAAAUCCAACCUAAUAGUUGUUCUUGAGUUUCACCUUCAAGGAGGUUUCUAGGGAGAAUUAGUUUUGGAGGGAAAAUCUAUUUUGUGUGUAUGGGAUUGGGAAUGGGUUGAUCACAUUUUUUAUCACUUGUAUACACCAAAAAAUAUCAAAAUAAAUCAAAUAGGAUCAGGUUAGUAUGUAGGGUGAAUUUACCAUUCACCCCUUUAAUGAGGCAGUCGCAUGGCAGCAGUUGCAGGCUACCAUCGACAGACAGCAUCGACGGAGCGUCGACUGGACGACGGGGCGUCCUGCUGCUCCAUCGUUAGUGACUGCAGCUUCCUCUUGGUUGAUUCAUCUCCUGUGGCUAAGUUUCAAAACACUCCCUAAUCGAUGGGGCGUCGAUGGACUGACGAGGCAUCACUUAGAGCUUGUCGAUUGACACUGCCAAGGCAGUGUCUCGAUAGCCCGUGAGUCCUUCUUGUAGGCCUUUUUGCGGGGCCCUUGGGAAGUGAUACCCGGACUUUUCCAACGUAAAUACGAACAUUGAAAAUUCAUGUACCUUCCAUGAAAGUUUCACCCAAAAUGCACACAUAAAACACGUCCAAACAUGCUAGGCCCCAUCAAGACAUACUUGAACGUCUCAAGGGCUAACUUUUGAACGUCUUAGACGUUCUUGGACGUUUGACAUCCAAACUUCAUGAAACUCCAUAUAAUGACUAUAAAUAUAAUUAUAACUCAUUUUAAGACUUCAUAAUCUCAUGAUGUACAAAUAUAAGGAUGUAUAAACACAUGACGCACAUAGGUGACUAGUUGUCGAACGUCUUGGUCGUCCCUUGACUUUUGACUUCCAAAUUACCUCAAACCUUACACACUGCCUCAAUACCAUAUUAUAAGCCAUUUUAGAACAUUAGUCCCUUAUGACAAACAUGUUAGGCUCUAGACACCCUAACUCAGUUUUGGGGUCUUACAAUAUAUAUGCAGGUUUUUAAAUGGAAAAGGGGUCCCAAACUCUUUUGUUCAAGCAGGUUCAGAAGAAAAUGAGACCUAAGAGGCCCAAUAGAGUGGUCCAUCAACAGAAAUUUAAUCAAAUAGGUCCACACUCAUCUUUUGGGCAUUUUUAGUUUUAGGACAUGUUCAUGGAUUUUGGGCCAAGACCCAAAUUUAACUCUCUCCUUUUCUUAUUAUUUAUUUGUGAUUAUGUUGACUAACAUUAUUUUUAUGAUUUGCUUUUAAUUUAAUUAAUUCCCAAAAUAUAGUCAUAUCGUCUAUUAUGUUCAAAUUUAAAUACUUAUUUUUUAAUUUAUGACUUAGUUCUAUUUUAUUUUAAUUGUCUUGCAAUAUAUGAAUUAAUCACUUUAAAAACUCCCUUCAAGUUUAUUUUCCCCUUAAAUAAAAAUGAGUUUUAUUUCUUAACAAAUAUUUUAAAAUAUAAUUGAAAAGUCAUUUUAGUCAAAUUGCCGGUCAACCGCGGGUUUUAGCGGGGGUUUCGAGGACCUAACACCUUCUCGGAAUGUACAUUAAACUUCAAACCUAUUUUUUCAAAUUGAUUUUUAUCGGUUUCAAUCCUUUUGAAAAUCUAAAGUUUUUUCUUGAUUUUUAUCAAAAAAAUUAAGUGGUGAAUCUGUCUUUUUGGAAAUUCAAUUUCUUUUCAAUAAUAAGUUUCAUCAACUUUUGAAAAAAAUCAUUUUUAUUUUUUUAUUAUUUUUUUCAAGUAAAACAACUGUGUAAAGGGACCUGGUCCAUUGAUGGUUAGUGGACGCACACCUUCCAACAAAAACUUAACUAUUUGUUUGGCAAGAAUGGCACUACCUUCAGAAAAGACAGCUAGCUAAAAUUCAUUUUUAGUUCAAUAAUGAUCUCCAAUAAGUUUUACCACUCCAAAUAAUGCAGCGGGUAUUUAAGUGUAGCACAGCCUGGAAAUGAUGCUAUAAGGCCAUCAAUGCUAGUGUGAAUACCGAUUCAUUGACAAAUAUAGUGCAGUCAGAGUGUAUUUACAAAUCGGAGAUACUGAUUUUUCCUCUCUGACCCCUUUCAGUUUGUUAAGAGUUAGUCAUCCAUAUACUGAUACUUCCUCUAUGUGCUAAUUAUUUUGCUGCAGCUAUGCUAAAGCAUAGAAGACUCCUAUAAUAACUCAACAGUAGAUUAACAAACAACUGAUUAGAACACAUGUUAAAGAGAACAAGACCUUUGGGUGUAUCAGAUGAAGUAUGAUAUGUGAGAGGAUUGCUAACAGAAGUUUCAAGAUUUGGGAUCUCGGGUAAUGUUUAAUGGCCUUAUAGGAAUAUGUGGAACCUGUUGAUUGCAUUGACAAUCAUUUAUCAUGUAUGGAUGAAUUUUUUUGUAGUCUCAACUUAAUAGACUUAUCGCUGAAGUUGCUCAUCGUGCAAGAGAAAUAUUAGGUUUCGCAUCUUUUGGCUUAUGGAAAUUACCAACUAGUUUUAUUCUUGAGGUGUCUAGCUACGAAGAUGGUAUAUGACCAAUGUAAAUUAUGCGAGUUCUCAUAGAGUAUUAAUUCUAGAAUAUGAUAUGGUCAUUUCUUUUCAGAUGGAUGUAAUAUAUUGCUCCUUAACAUUUAAAGAAUUUUGUUAUGUAAUUUUGAAAUGCUUAUAUUUUUCAUAUAUGAUGGCUAAUUUGUUUCAAUAAUCUUACUUGUAUAUUUGCGUCAAUACUUAUUGUAUAGCAAAUAAAUAAGAUUUGAGCAAUUAAAUUGGAG
rnacentral:lncRNA from 1 species